GUUGAUUCUGGCUCAGAUUGAACGCUGGCGGGAUGCUUUACACAUGCAAGUCGAACGGCAGCACGGACUUCGGUCUGGUGGCGAAAGUGGCGAACGGGUGAGUAGUAAUAUCGGGGCAGUGCUUACCACCUAGUAGCGGGGGAUAACUACGCGAAAGCAGCUAAUACCGCAUACGCCCUUCGGGGAAAGCGGGGGACCUUCGGGCCUCGCACUAUUAAACGGCCGAUAUCGGAUUAGCUAGUUGGUGGGGUAACGGCUCACCAAGGCGACGAUCCGUAGCUGGUUUGAGAGGACGACCAACCACACUGGGACUGAGACACGGCCCGAACUCCGGAGGAGGCAGCAGUGGGAAUUUUUUGGAUAAUGGGGAAACCCUGAUCCAGCCAUCCCGCGUGUGGAGUAAAGAACCUUCGGGUUGUAAAGCACUUUGGCAGGAAAGAAGCGGGAUAAUACCCCGUGCAACUGACAGUACUACAGAAUAAGCACCGGCUAACUACGUGCCAGCAGCCGCGGUAAUACGUAGGGUACAGCGUUAAUCAAGGAAUUACUGGGCGUAAAGCGUGCGCAGGCGGUUCGGAAAGAAAGAUGUGAAAUCCCAGGCUUAACCUGGAACUGCAUUUUUAACUACCGAGCUAGAGUGUGUCAGAGGAGGGUGGAAUUCCGCGUGUAGCAGUGAAAUGCGUAGAUAUGCGGAGGAACACACCGAUAGCGAAGAGCAACCUCCUGGGAUAACACUGACGCUCAUGCACGAAAGCGUGGGGAGUGACAGGAUUAGAUACCCUGGUAGUCCCGCCCUAAACGAUGUCAACUAGCUGUUGGGGCCUUCAGACGCCCGAAGUGGCAUACCAGCUAACGCGUAGAAGUUGACCGCCUGGGACUACAGUCGCAGAUUAAAACUCAAAGGAAUUGACGGGGACCCGCACAAGCGGUGGAUGAUGUGGAUUAAUUCGAUGCAACGCGAAAAACCUUACCUACCCUUGACAUGUCUGGAAUCGAAGAGAUUUGGGAGUGCUCGCAAGAGAACCGGAACACAGGUGCUGCAUGGCUGUCGUCAGCUCGUGUCGUGAGAUGUUAGGUUAAGUCCCGCAACGAGCGCAGCCCUUGUCAUUAGUUGCUACCCCGAAAGGAGCACUCUAAUGAGACUGCCGGUGACAAACCGGAGGAAGGUGGGGAUGACGUCAAGUCCUCAUGGCCCUUAUAGGUGGGGCUUCACACGUCAUACAAUGGUCGGGACAGAGGGUCGCCAACCCGCGAGGGGCCAAUCGAAACCCGAUCAGCGGUCCGGAUCGCAGUCUGCAACUCGACUUGCCGUGAAGUCGGAAUCGCUAGUAAUCGAGGAUCAACCUGUCGCAGUGAGCCACGUUCCCGGGUCUUGCCCACCGCCCGUCACACCAUGGGAGUGGGUUUUACCAGAAGUAGUUAGCCUAACCGUAAGGAGGGCGAUUACCACGGUAAGUUCGCGAAGCUGGGGUGAAGUCGUAACAAGGU
rnacentral:rRNA from 1 species